CCAAGGAGUCUAACAUGUGCGCGAGUCAUUGGGUCUUGAAUAGGCCCAAAGGCGUAAUGAAAGUGAAGGCCGGUUCGGCCGGCUGCCUUGGGAUCCCGCGAGCCUCGCGCUCGUGGGCGCACCAAGGGCCCGUCCCGAUCGCCUCGUUCGACGGGGCGGAGCAAGAGCGUACACGUUGGGACCCGAAAGAUGGUGAACUAUGCCUGGGCAGGACGAAGCCAGAGGAAACUCUGGUGGAGGUCCGCAGCGAUUCUGACGUGCAAAUCGAUCGUCAGACCUGGGUAUAGGGGCGAAAGACUAAUCGAACCAUCUA
rnacentral:rRNA from 1 species